CUUUGCAAUGAUGUAUUAAGGGUCAGUCAUUCCAAGUUUGGCAUGAAUGAAUAGAUUUGUAUUUCGCCACCAAAGUAUCUCGCCGAGAACUCUCUUGAGUGGCGGUUUGUUGGAUGGCAAAAUUACUAUGAUUUUGUAAAAGGGAUCCUUCGAUGCUUUUGUUUUGUGACGCUGGCAAUACAUUGUUAUAAAUAUUGGAGUAGCUUCAUAUUUGGAUGUGGUGCACCAUUCAAACAACUGAGAUUCACGGAGUCUAUUUCUAUGAAGCAACCAAUUUGAGAUACGACAAGUUGAGGGAUCGCCGAUAUACAAUUUUAUACACUACACAAAUCUUUGAGCCAUGCCAAGGAAUGUACAUGUUGAAAUCUUACUAUGUUAUUGGUCCGUAUUAUUUAUUGUUUAAUUUGUGAGUGAGAGUAUUCUUCUUCAUUUUAUUAAUUAUCUUUUCGACAAAUGUAAUUUGGUUUUAUAUUGUGUGUAUGUGUACAUUGUUUUUUGUAUGUUUAUAUCAAAUGAGUUUUUCCGUGACGUCACGUAUAUAUGUAUAAUUGAUUAUUUUUGCUUUCGAAAUAUUUUAUUUUAUGGUAUCGCAAUUGUUCCGAGAUCAUUUUUCUCAAAAAUUCUAAUUGUAACAAUUUCAUAUUUAUAAUUUUUCUAUAUAAACUUUUUUAUUGAGAAA